rnacentral:rRNA from 1 species
CCUACGGGUGGCAGCAGUGGGGAAUAUUGGGCAAUGGGCGCAAGCCUGACCCAGCAACGCCGCGUGAAGGAAGAAGGCCCUCGGAUUGUAAAGUUCUUUUAUUAGGGACGAAAAAAAUGACGGUACCGAAUGAAUAAGCAACGUCUAACUACGUACGAGCAGCCGCGGUAAUACGUAGGGGGCAAGCGUUAUCCGGAUUUACUGGGUGGAAAGGGAGCGUAGACGGGGCUGCAAGUCCGGAGUGAAAGCGCAUGGGUUAACCAUAGUAGUGCUCUGGAAACUGUGGAGCUUGAGUGCGGGAGAGGCAGGCGGAAUUACGAGUGUAGCGGUGAAAUGCGUAGAGAUUAGGAGGAACACCAGCGGCGAAGGCGGCCUGCUGGACCGUAACUGACGUUGAGGCUCGAAAGCGUGGGGAGCAAACAGGAUUAGAUACCCGUGUAGUC